CCUACGGGUGGCAGCAGUGGGGAAUAUUGGGCAAUGGGGGAAACCCUGACCCAGCAACGCCGCGUGAAGGAAGAAGGCUUUCGGGUUGUAAACUUCUUUUACUAGGAACGAAGAAAGUGACGGUACCCUGCAAGAAAGCUCCGUCUAACUACGUGCCAGCAGCCGCGGUAAUACGUAGGGAGCAAUCGUUGUCCGGAAUUACUGGUUGUAAAGGGAGCGUAGGCGGGAGGAUAAGUUGAAUGUGAAAUCUAUGGGCUCAACCCAUAGCUGCGUUCAAAACUGUUCUUCUUGAGUGAAGUAGAGGCAGGCGGAAUUCCUAGUGUAGCGGUGAAAUGCGUAGAUAUUAGGAGGAACACCAGUGGCGAAGGCGGCCUGCUGGGCUUUUACUGACGCUGAGGCUCGAAAGCGUGGGUAGCAAACAGGAUUAGAUACCCCAGUAGUC
rnacentral:rRNA from 1 species